CUCCUAAUCUGUCUAAGUCAUUCUGUAGCCUGUUUUCUCAACACUGUCUGCCCCUCCACCAAUCUUCAUAGCAUCUGCAAAAUUGACAACAAAACCAUCUAUUCCAUCAUCUAAAUCAUUGAUAUACAACAUAAAAAUAAGUGGUCUCAUCUCCAACCCCUGCGGAACACCACUAGACACUGGCCACCAACCAGAAAUUAAUUACUUUUUUCCCCACUUGCUGCCUCCUACCAAUCAGCAAAUGCUCUAACCAUGCCAGUAAAUUUCUUGUAAUACCAUGGGCUCUUAAUUUGGUAAACAGCUUCAAGUGUGGCACCUUGACAAAGGCCUACUGAAAGUCCAAAUGUAGAGUACAACAUCCACUGUAAGCUCUUUAUCUAUCCUACUUGUAUUCUCCUUAAAAGAUUCUAACAGGUUCAUCAGGCAAGAUUCUCCCUUAAGGAAACCAUGGUGACUUUGUCCUGUCUUGUCUUGGAUCACUGAGUACUCCAUAACCUCACUGUUAACAAUUAACAUUUUCCCAACCACUGAAGUCAAGCUAACUGGUGAAUAAUUUCCUUUCUGCUAUCUUCCUCCUUUGUUAAAGAGUGGGUGACAUUUAUAAUUUUCCAAUGAUUUUUGAAAGAUCAUUACCAAUGCCUCCACAAUCUCUAUUACUACCUCUUUCAGAACCUUGGUGAUACUGGACAAGGGAAAAAGAAAGCAAUAGUAAUAGAUGUGUCAAUCCUGAAUGACAGUAACAUCAGGAAGAAAGAAUAAAAGAAGCUAGAGAAAUACUAGGACUUGAAAGGACAGAUAGAAAGGAUGUAGAAAGUUAAACUCAGAGUAAUCCCAGUGAAGACAGGAGCACUUGGAGCUGUGACACCUGGACUUGAGAGUGUCUCCAACAAAUCCUGGGAACAACAUCUGUGAUCUUGGUCCAGAGAGCACACUACAAGGAACAGCAAGGAUACUGCGCCGAACGCUCAAGCUCCCUGGACACUGGUUGAGGAUCUGAAAUUGAGGUCUCUGAAAGAAGUCUGGCCUUUAUAGUGAGCUCAGGUAAAUCUGGGAAGUAUUGUUGCAGUCAUACAACUCAGCCUGUUAAACAUCUGAAAGUCAAACACAUUGCAUCUUAACAAAGGAAGGGAUAUGACAUUAAUCCCUGGAAUUCUUCACCCCAGAGUUGUGGAAGUUGUCACUGAACAUGAUUAAGGUUGAAGCAGAAGACUAAGGGCAACACCAAUAUAAUAAUGUGAUCUACAAUACAGACAGCACAAUACACACGUAGAAUGAAAUGAUCGGUUGACCUUUCAGCCUGAGACCCUUCAUCAGGACCAGCAACUUGUGCAAGUUGCUCAAGAUUUCCAACAUCUGUAUAAUCACUUGUGUCUACAUGAUAUAGACUGCACACACAUGAUGCCUAAAAUGAGAUACAACAUUGAACAGGCCCUUCCAGCUCAGCAAAACACAUUGAUUUAACACUAGCCUAAUCACAGAACAAAUUACAAUGACUGAUUAACCUCCUGAGUGCAUUGUCUUUAGACUGUAGGAGGAAACCAGAGCACCUGGAGAAAACCCACGUGCACACGGGAAGAACAUAAAAACUUUCUUCGGGUGGAUGCUGGAACUGAACACUGAACUCUGACAUCCUGAGCUGUAAUAGUGUCAUGCUAACUGCUAUGCUGUCAUGGUGCUUCCAAGAAUAGAAAUAUCUAUGAGGGAUAUAGAUAGUGUGAAUGCGCUCAGUAUUUUUCCCAGGGCUGGGGAAUCAAGGAUGAGGACAUGGGUUUAAGGUAAGAGGAGAAUUGUUUAAUAGAACUUAAAGGGCAACUUUUUUCCACGAAGUGUAUUAUGUAUGUUGAAUGAGCUACCAGGAGAAGAAUUUGAGACAAGUACAAUGACAACUUUUAAAAGACAAUUGAACGGCUAUGUGGAUUGGAAAAGUUUAAUAUAUUAUAGUGUUUCCAGAUAGGGCUAGCUUGGAUAAGCUAUCUUGGUUGGCAUGGUCCAGUUGUGCUAAAGGACUUUUUUCAUGCUGUAUAAUGUUCUAUAUACUGUACAUUUAAGUUAAGAUAAUUUCCUAAGAAAUAAAAAAGACUUACAAGUCUAUAUAGACUUUUAUCAGCUCAGGAUGAACGAAAGUACUUCUCAGCCAAUUAAGUUCUGGUGUGGUCAUUGUUAUGAUGUCAGAAACAUAGGGUCUAAUUUGCCUCUAGAGUACCCCACCUCCAUCAAGUGUAACAACUAGAUCACUUUCAUUACUUUCAUAAUUUUCUUUGCAUUGGGUUUAAUGACAAAAAUUAUGCUGGCAUCAGAGAGGACUUGUCAGUUCUUGCUCAAAGUAAUCCUAGGGAAUGCUUGCUGCUAGCCUGAAAGAGCAAACUUUUGUUUAGCAGAGGGAUAUCAGUAUUAAUGAGACAUCACUUUCUCAGUACUACACUAAGACUAUUAGUUGAGAAAU